rnacentral:rRNA from 1 species
GAUCAGGCUCAGGAUGAACGCUAGCUACAGGCUUAACACAUGCAAGUCGAGGGGCAGCAUGAACUUAGCUUGCUAAGUUUGAUGGCGACCGGCGCACGGGUGAGUAACACGUAUCCAACCUGCCGAUGACUCGGGGAUAGCCUUUACGAAAGAAAGAUUAAUACCCGAUGGCAUAGUUCUUCCGCAUGGUAGAACUAUUAAAGAAUUUCGGUCAUCGAUGGGGAUGCGUUCCAUUUAGG